GUCGAACGAUGAAGCCCUUCGGGGUGGAUUAGUGGCGAACGGGUGAGUAACACGUGGGCAAUCUGCCCUUCACUCUGGGACAAGCCCUGGAAACGGGGUCUAAUACCGGAUAACACUCUGUCCCGCAUGGGACGGGGUUAAAAGCUCCGGCGGUGAAGGAUGAGCCCGCGGCCUAUCAGCUUGUUGGUGGGGUAAUGGCCUACCAAGGCGACGACGGGUAGCCGGCCUGAGAGGGCGACCGGCCACACUGGGACUGAGACACGGCCCAGACUCCUACGGGAGGCAGCAGUGGGGAAUAUUGCACAAUGGGCGAAAGCCUGAUGCAGCGACGCCGCGUGAGGGAUGACGGCCUUCGGGUUGUAAACCUCUUUCAGCAGGGAAGAAGCGAAAGUGACGGUACCUGCAGAAGAAGCGCCGGCUAACUACGUGCCAGCAGCCGCGGUAAUACGUAGGGCGCAAGCGUUGUCCGGAAUUAUUGGGCGUAAAGAGCUCGUAGGCGGCUUGUCACGUCGGAUGUGAAAGCCCGGGGCUUAACCCCGGGUCUGCAUUCGAUACGGGCUAGCUAGAGUGUGGUAGGGGAGAUCGGAAUUCCUGGUGUAGCGGUGAAAUGCGCAGAUAUCAGGAGGAACACCGGUGGCGAAGGCGGAUCUCUGGGCCAUUACUGACGCUGAGGAGCGAAAGCGUGGGGAGCGAACAGGAUUAGAUACCCUGGUAGUCCACGCCGUAAACGUUGGGAACUAGGUGUUGGCGACAUUCCACGUCGUCGGUGCCGCAGCUAACGCAUUAAGUUCCCCGCCUGGGGAGUACGGCCGCAAGGCUAAAACUCAAAGGAAUUGACGG
rnacentral:rRNA from 1 species